UUCCGGUUGAUCCCGCCGGACCUGACUGCUAUCGGAUUGAUACUAAGCCAUGCGAGUCAUUGUAGCAAUACAAGGCAGACGGCUCAGUAACGCGUAGUCAACCUAACCUAUGGACGGGAAUAACCUCGGGAAACUGAGAAUAAUGCCCGAUAGAACACUAUGCCUGGAAUGGUUUGUGUUCCAAAUGAUUUAUCGCCGUAGGAUGGGACUGCGGCCUAUCAGUUUGUUGGUGAGGUAAUGGCCCACCAAGACUAUUACAGGUACGGGCUCUGAGAGGAGUAGCCCGGAGAUGGGUACUGAGACACGGACCCAGGCCCUAUGGGGCGCAGCAGGCGAGAAAACUUUGCAAUGUGCGAAAGCACGACAAGGUUAAUCCGAGUGAUUUGUGCUAAACGAAUCUUUUGUUAGUCCUAGAACCACUAACGAAUAAGGGGUGGGCAAGUUCUGGUGUCAGCCGCCGCGGUAAAACCAGCACCUCAAGUGGUCAGGAUGAUUAUUGGGCCUAAAGCAUCCGUAGCCGGCUCUGUAAGUUUUCGGUUAAAUCUGUACGCUUAACGUACAGGCUGCCGGGAAUACUGCAGAGCUAGGGAGUGGGAGAGGUAGACGGUACUCGGUAGGAAGGGGUAAAAUCCUUUGAUCUAUUGAUGACCACCUGUGGCGAAGGCGGUCUACCAGAACACGUCCGACGGUGAGGGAUGAAAGCUGGGGGAGCAAACCGGAUUAGAUACCCGGGUAGUCCCAGCUGUAAACUAUGCAAACUCAGUGAUGCAUUGACUUGUGGUCAAUGCAGUGCUGCAGGGAAGCUCGUUAAGUUUGCCGCCUGGGAAGUACGUACGCAAGUAUGAAACUUAGAGGAAUUGGCGGGGGAGCAUCACAAGGGGUGAAGCCUGCGGUUCAGUGGAGUCAACGCCGGAA
rnacentral:rRNA from 1 species